rnacentral:lncRNA from 1 species
UAGAGAGAGAGAGAGAGAGAGAGAGGGUGUAGCAGGAAACUAGUCCCUUCAUAUAUAGCAAACAAGGGGUUUGGUCCAUCUUCAGGAGCAGGUGGGGGGGAGAGGAAGAGCUUUCACAGGGAGCGGGAGACAUCUCACGUUGGGGGGGAGCAGGUGGGGAGGAGGUCGGCUGGUCGGAGGGAGAGGUUGGACUCUGAUACCGUUAUUACAAACUCUCGGUAUUACUCUCCAAGCAUGGCAAACUGUAGAAGUGGGAGCGGCGGCGGUAUCAGGUGGAGAUGGCGACGGCAGGAGUGGCGGCGACAUCGACCAUCCUGGCCUUCUUGUUGUUGAGGAUGUCCUCGGGGCUCGUGCCGGCGGCGAGGGGAACGGUGGUCUUCUUCGCCUCGUAGGCCGAGAGGUGGACCCCCAGAGCGGCCCUUCCCGAGGGAUCGGGGUUGCUCGACCACUGCGCGUCCCACGACAUCGCCGCCGCCGUGCUGCAGGCCACGCUUGGGCCCCCGGGGACGGUCAGCCUGGCGGAGUUCUGCAGGAAGGAGGGACAGAGAGG